rnacentral:rRNA from 1 species
CCUACGGGCGGCUGCAGUGGGGAAUCUUGCGCAAUGGACGAAAGUCUGACGCAGCGACGCCGCGUGAGUGAUGAAGGCCUUCGGGUUGUAAAGCUCUGUGGGGAGAGACGAAUAAGGUGCAGUUAAUAUCUGCAUCGAUGACGGUACCUCCUUAGCAAGCACCGGCUAACUCUGUGCCAGCAGCCGCGGUAAGACAGACGGAGCAAACGGUGUUCGGAAGCGCUGAGGCUGAAGCAUAAGUAGGCUGUCAAAGCCCCGGGCUCAACCUGGGAAGUGCAUUCGAUACUGUUUGACUGGAGUACUGGAGAGGUUGGUGGAAUUCUCGGUGUAGAGGUGAAAUUCGUAGAUAUCGGGAAGAACAUCUGUGGCGAAGGCGGCCAACUGGACAGAUACUGACGCUGAGACACGAAAGCGUGGGGAGCAAACAGGAUUAGAUACCCCGGUAGUC